GGAGUCUAGCAUGUACGCGAGUCAUUGGGACUUGAAUUGAAACCUAAAGGCAUAAUGAAAGUAAAGGUAUACCUCUUGUGUAUAUUUAGGGAAGAUGGGCUAUUCAAAGCAAUAGCUUCGCACUCCCGGGGCGUCUCGUUCUCUCAUUAUCACUUGUGGUAUUGACGAGUUGAGGCGCACCUAGAGCGUACACGCUGGGACCCGAAAGAUGGUGAACUAUGCCUGGUCAGGACGAAGUCAGGGGAAACCCUGAUGGAGGUCCGUAGCGAUUCUGACGUGCAAAUCGAUCGUAAGAACUGGGUAUAGGGGCGAAAGACUAAUCGAACCAUCUAGUAGCUGGUUCCCUCCGAAGUUUCCCUCAGGAUAGCUGGCGCUCGUUAGAGCUAAUAUAUUUUAUAUAUAUAUAUUUACGAGUCUCAUCCGGUAAAGCGAAUGAUUAGAGGCAUUGGGGUCGAAACGGCCUCAACCUAUUCUCAAACUUUAAAUGGGUGAGAUCUCCGGCUUGCUUGAAUAAUGAAGCCGUGAGAUCGGAUCAGAGUGCCAAGUGGGCCAUUUUUGGUAAGCAGAACUGGCGCUGUGGGAUGAACCAAACGUAGAGUUAAAGCGCCUAAAUUAACGCUUAUGGGAUACCAUGAAAGGCGUUGGUAACUUAAGACAGCAGGACGGUGGCCAUGGAA
rnacentral:rRNA from 1 species